rnacentral:rRNA from 1 species
CUUAGAGUUUGAUCCUGGCUCAGGACGAACGCUGGCGGCAGGCCUAACACAUGCAAGUCGAGCGAACUCUUCGGAGUGAGCGGCAGACGGGUGAGUAACGCGUGGGAACCUACCCAGGGGUACGGAAUAACUCGGGGAAACUCGGGCUAAUACCGUAUGUGUCCUUCGGGAGAAAGAUUUAUCGCCCUUGGAUGGGCCCGCGUUGGAUUAGCUAGUUGGUGGGGUAACGGCUCACCAAGGCGACGAUCCAUAGCUGUUCUGAGAGGAAGAUCAGCCACACUGGGACUGAGACACGGCCCAGACUCCUACGGGAGGCAGCAGUGGGGAAUCUUGGACAAUGGGCGAAAGCCUGAUCCAGCCAUGCCGCGUGAGUGAUGAAGGCCCUAGGGUUGUAAAGCUCUUUCACCUACGAGGAUAAUGACGGUAGUAGGAGAAGAAGCCCCGGCUAACUUCGUGCCAGCAGCCGCGGUAAUACGAAGGGGGCUAGCGUUGUUCGGAAUUACUGGGCGUAAAGCGCGCGUAGGCGGAUCGUUAAGUCAGAGGUGAAAGCCCAGAGCUCAACUCUGGAACUGCCUUUGAUACUGGCGAUCUUGAGACCGGGAGAGGAGAGUGGAAUUCCCAGUGUAGAGGUGAAAUUCGUAGAUAUUGGGAAGAACACCCGUGGCGAAGGCGGCUCUCUGGCCCGGUUCUGACGCUGAGGUGCGAAAGCGUGGGGAGCGAACAGGAUUAGAUACCCUGGUAGUCCACGCCGUAAACGAUAAAUGCUAGUUGUUGGGGAUCCUAGAUCUUCAGUGACGCCGCUAACGCAUUAAGCAUUCCGCCUGGGGAGU